AACGAACGCUGGCGGCAUGCCUAACACAUGCAAGUCGAACGAACACAUCAGGUCUUUUGGCGCACGGCUGCGUCACGCGUGGGGACAUUCACUUGGGUUCGGCAUAACUCCAAGACUGGGAUAACAAUACCAGAUCGUAUCUUAUGCCCGAUGAUAUAUCGAAUUUGGUUGGUCCCGAGUGGAAUUAGCUGGUUGGUAGGGUAAAAGACUACCACGGCGACGAUCCAUAGCUGGUCUGAGAGGAUGAUCAGCCACACUGGGAGUGAGACACGGCCCAGACUCCUACGGGAGGGAGCAGUGGGGAAUAGUGGAAAGUGGGCGAAAGCCUGAUCCAGCAAGGCCGGGUGAGUGAUGUAGGCAGUAGGGUUGUAAAGCGUUUUUACCCGUGAUGAUAAUGACAGUACCGGGAGAAUAAGCUCCGGCUAACUCCGUG
rnacentral:rRNA from 1 species